UGAAGGGUUGGUUAAUGAAGACACUCUCAAGCUAUUGGUAGGGGAGCCCUAAGUUUGUUCACAUCAGUCUUAAAGUGUGGCCUCCUUAACUGGACAUAGUACUCCAGCUGAGGCCUCACCACUGCUGAGUAGAAUGGGACAAUCACCUCCCCGGUCUUGCUGUGACAGAGUGCAGUGAGUUAACAGGCAUUUGACAUCUGAUCCUGCUUUCAUUGAAGUCAAUAGCAAAACUUCCACUGACUGAAUGGCAGCUGGACCGUGCCGUUAAACAGUUUGAGAAAUAUAACUAUAGAAGAAUGCAAGAAAACAUGUUCCCAAGGACAUAUGGAGUGUGUGUGUGUGUGUAUAUAUAUAUAUGUAUAUAUAUAAUAUAGGCAGAUACUGGGUAAAUCAAGACAGGUAUUGUUAUCUGCUGUUCAGUGUGUAUUGUGUCCCUUUUAGUGGCUGGUCCAAAGAUACUCACUACAGCAAUCCUUUAAAUUGCUUACUCCAUUAGGAUGGAGGGUCAUACUUUUAGCAUAAGGUCACAGAUUCAAUCCCUAGUGAAGACCAGUGAGAGUGAUCAUUAAUGUUACAAUGCAUUGAAAUACUGUGAAGGACAAUGCAAUGAUUUAGAUUACCUGGAGGGGAUCAGGUAAAUUCAGUUUGUUUAACUGAGGUUAUGUGGUGUCAUGAAACACAGCCAGACAAAACUGAUGGAGUUUGGCAUUUUAUUUCUGCACUGAUCAAAUAUUUUUUGAGGAAAAUGAAAAAAAUUAAAUAUUUCAGAUCUAUUUUUUCCACUUAAACUCAAAUCUGAGCAUGUCCUAACUGGGUUCUUCCCUCCUCAAGUUCACUGUGGUUCAUUUUGGGUGUAGCGGUAGCAGUCCUUCCCCAGCCAGCCAAGGAGAGAUUUCUGAACAUCUUCCUGGUCACUUCCUGAUCACAUGCAGGGCUUAGUUGGCUUCACAAAAUAGUAGGGCUGGGCACUUUGGAAUUUCUCUCUCCAAGCCCCCUGGGGUUUCCAUGCCCUUACCACCAUACCAUCAUGGAGAGAAGCUCGGUGACUUCAACCAACAGAUCAGGAAGAAAGGAGUCAGUAGCAGUGGUGGCUCAAGUCAGUGGUGAGGUCUGGGUGCUGCUGGAGGAGUGUAUUGUUAGUUGGAGGUUACUGAGUAGGCUAGGGCCUCUUCUAUCCACAGCUGGGACGAGACUGGUGGAACUUACAUUCCACUCACACGUGACUGGCAUGAGCUCUCAAUGUCCUACUUCAGGGUCCAGUUCAGGAGAAUGCUGGAGGGGUGGACACAGACCACAAACAGGCCAGUGGACAUUUAACACUCUAUGAUUACUGAGAUGCUGGUAACAUUGGCACUACCCUUAUCAAAAAUAUGUCAAAAUGGUGAAGUGCUGCUUUUCGGGUCCACUUUCACAGUAGCUUUCUUUGGGACUUUCUGGUUGUGGGAUCUUGGAUCAUGCUGGGUCCCUGUUACUAGUUAGCAAUGAACUUUUUUGUUUAGCUAUCUUAUUUUAAAUACUUACUCUUCUGAAGAAUUUAACACCAAACUUAAAAAUUCAGUAGUCCUCAUUAUCUGUGCAAGGGGUAAUUUAUUUGAUGACUAGAGGGUUUUUUGGAUGUUUUAAAAAAAAAAUUCAAUAUUAAGUAAGCAUUGUCAACAACAUACAACAUGAGUGUCCUAGAGUGCAAUGGCCCCCCAACUCUUCUCUGACAAUCUUUUUUAGAUUAAUUUGUUUUCUGAUGCCCCAAAUGCAUCAUGAAAUUUAACGGCGUCUUCCACUUCUAUUUUACAUCCUACUUGCACAGUAGUAAUUUAUUCUAAGGGAAAACUGUUUUCAUAGCUAAUCCCCACAUUUUAUGGCACUGUAAAAUAUGUAUGUAAUUUCUAAUUUAAUUACCAAUAGGUACUCCAUGUUUCUUUUCACACUGCACAAUAUGAGAUGCUGAGAAUGCAUCUGGAAUAAUGAAUGUCAUUAUUAUUUUUCAGUGAAAAGACUUGUCCAAUUGUUUUCUAUUCUGUCUCCUCUAUGCAUAGCAUUUUAUCAGAUGUUGGGAUAUUUAAAACAGUGGUCAUGCAUAUAUAGAAUAACAAUUUCAAUGUCAUUAGUAUGGCUUUUCACAACUUAUAUUCUUUUAAAACAUUGUGGCAUUUUGAUUUCUUGGAAACAUUUAGUUGGAAUUAGCUUUUUCAGAGUACAGAGUAAAAAUCAAUUUCUAACUUUCUUUUUUUAGCUGGAGGGAACAAAAUCCAAGAAAGUUUAGUGCAUAUUUUUGAAGUUUUCCCUCAAAGGCUUUCUUCACAUUGAAGAGAAAUAUGUAUGAAGAGAUAUAUUACCUACAGGCUUAUUAUAAAGUCCUGACUGUGCAGUAAAGAUGCAGCUGCUAGCAGUUCACCACCUAACUUUCCUUAAAUUCUAUUGGUGGAUCAUCUUAAAAGCCAAAGUUUUAGCAGCAGUUGUAAAAUUGUUUGCAUUGACAUGCCACAAUCUUUUUUUUUUUAAAUAUUUAAUUGCAUAAAGCAUAUAGUUUUAUUUAUGCAACUAUUGUUCCCCUUAUUCCCCCCCCCCCCCCCCCGGCUCUAAAAUUGCAUGAAAUUAGUCUGUGGUCUAUUAAGCAAGUUGUGCCUUGCUCUUGUGAUGCUAUCCACUCAUGUGGGCCCCUGUACCUGUGUAGAACCCCAUUCACUGCAGCAAGACUGCAUGUGGGUAAAAAGAUCUGCCCACACAGUCCAAAUUGCAGGAUUAAAAUACAUAGGUCCUGAUUCAGCAAAGGAAUUUAAACAGAUGCUUAAGACCAACUAUAUUCACCAUUCCCACUGACUUUAAUGAGAGUUGAGAACAUCCUUAAAUUUAAUCAUGUACUAAAGUGCUUGUUGAAUAAGGAUGGACUUAGGAAGAUCCUUAAAGUUAAGUGAAUUUAAGUCCUUUCCUGAAUUGGAGCCUAAUUUUUUAAAAUGAUUUUUAAUAUCUUAUAACAUCCUUUUUGUUUGCCUGUAGUUUAAAUUGACAAAACCUUUAAUUUUUAAAGUUUCAAUAAAUGUUUCUUAAUGUCUCUGCCUGUAUUCCUCAUUUUAUUUAUUCUUUGGAAAAAUUAUUUAUGAUCAGAUGUUGUGAAAACUCAUGACAGAUUUCCCAACCAUUUCUCUUUUUAUGUGCUGAACUGACAGAAGGACUGUGCUGCUCACCCAGUUGAAAGUAAUUUGGAAACAUCUCAUUCUUUUACUUGCAAUGGGUCUGAGUCUCUGACUGCAGUGGCAGCCUCUGCAAACAAUGAGCUGCAUGCCCAUUUUGUGUGAACUGGGGAAAUGAAUUGCCUAGGGCUCAAAAACUUGGACAUAUGUUUGUCUAGAGCAAUAAGUUUGGUUCCUGUACUAGACCUUGCUCAUUUAGUACUGUCACACAGUAAAGCUAAAAUGUGCCUGUAGUUAUAUGGUGAGUUUUCUCUCUCCUUUAUGUGUUAUAUAUACUGUGCAGGCAGAUGUAAACAGACUGCAGAGAGCUGCUGUGAUAUAGCCCCUCAUCCUAGACCUAAAGAGAAUCAUUUGAUGAUGGGGAAAGAGAAUAUUCUUAUUGUAUGUGGCCACUCAGUUUUUCAUCUCUCUCUUUUUUUUUUUUUUUUUUUU